GGAAGGAGCAGCACCAGGCAUCAAGCUGCAAAGAAGAUCUUUGAAAAAUGACUGACAAAGAUCUGGGUGAUUGGCAUCCAUUGUCAGCAGUUCCAAGUGCCGUUGUGGAAAAGCGGAGUUCAAAUCUCAGGGAAUGUCAGUUCAAUUGUUUGUCCUUCCUGAAGUCCUGGAUGAA